GUCAUGUUAUCGAUAUGUGAAUACAUAGCAUAUCAGAAGGCACACCCGGAGAACUGAAACAUCUUAGUACCCGGAGGAAGAGAAAGAAAAUUCGAUUCCCUUAGUAGCGGCGAGCGAAACGGGAAGAGCCCAAACCAACAAGCUUGCUUGUUGGGGUUGUAGGACACUCUAUACGGAGUUACAAAGGACGACAUUAGACGAAUCAUCUGGAAAGAUGAAUCAAAGAAGGUAAUAAUCCUGUAGUCGAAAAUGUUGUCUCUCUUGAGUGGAUCCUGAGUACGACGGAGCACGUGAAAUUCCGUCGGAAUCUGGGAGGACCAUCUCCUAAGGCUAAAUACUCUCUAGUGACCGAUAGUGAACCAGUACCGUGAGGGAAAGGUGAAAAGCACCCCGGAAGGGGAGUGAAAUAGAACCUGAAACCGUGUGCUUACAAGUAGUCAGAGCCCGUUAAUGGGUGAUGGCGUGCCUUUUGUAGAAUGAACCGGCGAGUUACGAUUUGAUGCAAGGUUAAGCAGUAAAUGUGGAGCCGUAGCGAAAGCGAGUCUGAAUAGGGCGUUUAGUAUUUGGUCGUAGACCCGAAACCAGGUGAUCUACCCUUGGUCAGGUUGAAGUUCAGGUAACACUGAAUGGAGGACCGAACCGACUUACGUUGAAAAGUGAGCGGAUGAACUGAGGGUAGCGGAGAAAUUCCAAUCGAAC
rnacentral:rRNA from 1 species